rnacentral:lncRNA from 1 species
CUUAAUUCCUCACAGCUCUGGCUUUUCUCAGCAUGUCUUCAUAGCUUUCAUCUGACAGCUAUUGUACUGACAUGUAUUUCUCCUCUGGAUCUGCCUUCUCCAAACACCAAAGACUAUUAGUGAAUUUCCUUCCCUGGCUGCAAGCAUGUGACCAAAUAUUGCCUGCAAUGAAC